UUCCGCAAUGGACGAAAGUCUGACGGAGCAACGCCGCGUAAGUGAUGAAGGUUUCCGGAUCGUAAAGCUCUGUGUUAGGAAGAAAGUGCAAAUGUAACUGCUCGCACCUUGACGGUACCUAACCAGAAAGCCACGGCUAACUACUGGCCAGAAGCCGCGGUAAU
rnacentral:rRNA from 1 species